CCUACGGGUGGCAGCAGUGAGGAAGAUUGGGCAAUGGGCGAGAGCCUGAACCAGCCAAGUCGCGUGAGGGAGGACUGCCCUAUGGGUUGUAAACCUCUUUUGUCGGGGAGCAAAAGCCGGACGUUUUCGGCUGUUAGAUUACCCCUAUAAAAAGCACCGGCUAACCCCGUGUCAGCCGCCGCGGUAAUACCGAGAAUGCGAGCGUUAUCCGGAUUUUUGGGGUUUAAAGGGUGCGCAGGCGGAGUUUUAAGUCAGCGGUAAAAUCGUGGGGCUCAACCCCAUCCAGCCGUUGAAACUGGGGAUCUAGAGUGUGCGAGAGGUAUGCGGAAUGCGUGGUGUAGCGGUGAAAUGCAUAGAUAUCACGCAGAACCCCGAUUGCGAAGGCAGCAUACCGGUGCACAACUGACGCUCAGGCACGAAAGCGUGGGUAUCGAACAGGAUUAGAUACCCGUGUAGUC
rnacentral:rRNA from 1 species